rnacentral:rRNA from 1 species
AAUAUUGGACAAUGGGGGCGACCCUGAUCCAGCCUUGCCGCGGGUGUGAAGAAGAACAUCGGAUCUUAACGCUCUUUACGUUGAGAGGAAGUGCUUUAGGUUAUUACUCUGAAGUUUUGAUGUUACCACUGUAAUACGCACCCGCUAACUUCGUGCUAGCAGCCGCGGUAAUACGAAGGGUGCAAGCGUUAAUCGGAAUUACUGGGCGUAAAGCGCGCGUAGGUGGUUUGUUAAGUUGGAAGUGAAAGCCCCGGGCUCAACCUGGGAACUGCUUUCAAAACUGGCAAGCUAGAGUAUGGCAGAGGGUGGUGGAAUUUCCUGUGUAGCGGUGAAAUGCGUAGAUAUAGGAAGGAACACCAGUGGCGAAGGCGACCACCUGGGCUAAUACUGACACUGAGGUGCGAAAGCGUGGGGAGCAAACA